GACGAACGCUGGCGGCGUGCCUAAUACAUGCAAGUAGAACGCUGAAGGAGGAGCUUGCUUCUCUGGAUGAGUUGCGAACGGGUGAGUAACGCGUAGGUAACCUGCCUGGUAGCGGGGGAUAACUAUUGGAAACGAUAGCUAAUACCGCAUAAGAGUAGAUGUCGCAUGACAUUUGCUUAAAAGGUGCAAUUGCAUCACUACCAGAUGGGCCUGCGUUGUAUUAGCUAGUUGGUGAGGUAACGGCUCACCAAGGCAACGAUACAUAGCCGACCUGAGAGGGUGAUCGGCCACACUGGGACUGAGACACGGCCCAGACUCCUACGGGAGGCAGCAGUAGGGAAUCUUCGGCAAUGGACGGAAGUCUGACCGAGCAACGCCGCGUGAGUGAAGAAGGUUUUCGGAUCGUAAAGCUCUGUUGUAAGAGAAGAACGAGUGUGAGAGUGGAAAGUUCACACUGUGACGGUAUCUUACCAGAAAGGGACGGCUAACUACGUG
rnacentral:rRNA from 1 species